rnacentral:misc_RNA from 1 species
ACAAACUUGGUCAUUUAGAGGAAGUAAAAGUCGUAACAAGGUAACCGUAGGUGAACCUGCGGUUGGAUCAUUACUGAACUUGGAAAAGAAUUGAACCCCCUUUGUGUGAACUGUUAUUAUUUCUUUGGUGGCCCACAAACAUGUUGGCGCGUCUUUUUUACACUGGCUCUUUUGAUUGAGGUCUUGAGAGUAUGUAGGAAGGGCGCGACUCCGGGCCACCUAACCUGUUAUCAAAUUCUUUGUUUGAUGUAUAUUUUUUAACUUACAUGAUUGUAUGAGUUGAAUCUCCAAUAAACAAAAACAACUUUUGACAAUGGAUCUCUUGGCUCUUGCAUCGAUGAAGAACGCAGC